CCUCCUUGCGAAGGCAGUCUCCUUAGAGUGCUCAGCCGAACUGUUAGCAACUAAGGACGAGGGUUGCGCUCGUUGCGGAACUUAACCCAACAUCUCACGACACGAGCUGACGACAGCCGUGCAGCACCUGUGUGUAGGUUCUAGCAAGCUAGCACCCCCUAAUCUCUUAAGGGUUCCUACCAUGUCAAGGCCAGGUAAGGUUCUUCGUGUAUCUUCGAAUU
rnacentral:rRNA from 1 species